AGACUACAGGAUUCCCCUAGUAACGGCGAGUGAAGCGGGAAGAGCUCAAGCUUGAAAUCUGGGGCGCUUGCGUCCACAGAAUUGUAGUUGAGAGAAGUGCUUUCACCGGGACGAGCGAUGGCCUAAGUUGCUUGGAACAGCACGUCAUAGAGGGUGAGAAUCCCGUCUGUGGUUGGUCGGUCCCUCGGAACGAUGCACUUUCGAAGAGUCGGGUUGUUUGGGAAUGCAGCCCAAAAUGGGUGGUAAACUCCAUCUAAAGCUAAAUACUGCCACGAGACCGAUAGCGAACAAGUACCGUGAGGGAAAGAUGAAAAGCACUUUGAAAAGAGAGUUAAAAGCACGUGAAACCGUUGAAAGGGAAACGCGCUCGGCUAGCAAUGCGCGUCUGUGGUUCAGCCGGCUAGUCUCGUCGAGUUGCCGUUGUGCGGAUCCGAAUGGACUGCCUGCGGUGGCGGCGGUGGGCGAGCUAUGGUGCACUCCACGGGCGUGCGCGUCAGCGUCGGUUCUCGACGGACGACAAGGUGCGUGGGAAAGGUAGCUCGGUUUUCGGACGGAGUGUUACAGACCCGUGCGCUGGGUUCGUCGUGGGACCGAGGAGAGAGAUGAUCGCUGCGGCACCUGCCUCUCGGGGCUAGCCAGCUGUUGUCAGGUGUGCGCCAGAUGCUGAGGACUGCACGCAGUGCUCGGUGUUGAGGUGUGAUCUGGUGGCGGUGUGGGUAUAGAGGUGCCUAGGACGCUGGCGUCCAAAUGGCCGUGCGCGACCCGUCUUGAAACACGGACCAAGGAGUCUAACAUGUGCGCGAGUCUUAGGGUGUGCAAGCCCUCGGGCGCAAUGAAAGUGAAGGUUCGGCGCUAGUCGAGCUGAGGUGAGAGCCGCUGCUGGCCUGUUGCCACGGUGGCGCAUCAUCGGCCGGUCCAUCCUGCUCUCAGGGGGAUCCGAGCAAGAGCGUAUUUGUUGGGACCCGAAAGAUGGUGAACUAUGCCUGAAUAGGGUGAAGCCAGAGGAAACUCUGGUGGAGGCUCGUAGCGAUUCUGACGUGCAAAUCGAUCGUCAAAUUUGGGUAUAGGGGCGAAAGACUAAUCGAACC
rnacentral:rRNA from 1 species